GGGGUAGUGGGGCGGCUACACAUGCAAGUCGAGCGGCAGCGGGUCCUUCGGGAUGCCGGCGAGCGGCGGACGGGUGAGUAAUGCCUAGGAAUCUGCCUGGUAGUGGGGGAUAACUCGGGGAAACUCGAGCUAAUACCGCAUACGUCCUACGGGAGAAAGCGGGGGAUCUUCGGACCUCGCGCUACCAGAUGAGCCUAGGUCGGAUUAGCUAGUUGGUGAGGUAAAGGCUCACCAAGGCGACGAUCCGUAGCUGGUCUGAGAGGUUGAUCAGCCACACUGGAACUGAGACACGGUCCAGACUCCUACGGGAGGCAGCAGUGGGGAAUAUUGGACAAUGGGCGAAAGCCUGAUCCAGCCAUGCCGCGUGUGUGAAGAAGGUCUUCGGAUUGUAAAGCACUUUAAGUUGGGAGGAAGGGCAGUAAGUUAAUACCUUGCUGUUUUGACGUUACCGACAGAAUAAGCACCGGCUAACUUCGUGCCAGCAGCCGCGGUAAUACGAAGGGUGCAAGCGUUAAUCGGAAUUACUGGGCGUAAAGCGCGCGUAGGUGGUUUGAUAAGUUGGAUGUGAAAGCCCCGGGCUCAACCUGGGAAUUGCAUCCAAAACUGUCUGACUAGAGUAUGGCAGAGGGUGGUGGAAUUUCCUGUGUAGCGGUGAAAUGCGUAGAUAUAGGAAGGAACACCAGUGGCGAAGGCGACCACCUGGGCUAAUACUGACACUGAGGUGCGAAAGCGUGGGGAGCAAACAGGAUUAGAUACCCUGGUAGUCCACGCCGUAAACGAUGUCGACUAGCCGUUGGGAUCCUUGAGAUCUUAGUGGCGCAGCUAACGCAUUAAGUCGACCGCCUGGGGAGUACGGCCGCAAGGUUAAAACUCAAAUGAAUUGACGGGGGCCCGCACAAGCGUGGAGCAUGUGGUUUAAUUCGAAGCACGCGAAGAACUUCACCAGGCCUUGACAUGCAGAGAACUUUCCAGAGAUGGAUUGGUGCCUUCGGAACUCUGACACAGGUGCUGCAUGGCUGUCGUCAGCUCGUGUCGGGAGAUUUUGGGUUAAGUCCCGUAACGA
rnacentral:rRNA from 1 species